rnacentral:misc_RNA from 1 species
GUUUUCUAAUGUGAAAGUUCGGCUGACAUUUUAUGGAAAAUGACAAUGAAAUUUGAAUUGGUGGUGCGGUCAAAAAUUUUGAAAAUCUAUUCAUUCUUAAUGACACUGAUUCUUAAAAUGUAUGUUAAUCAUGCUAGGGUUUUGUUGUGAAAGUUGAAAUCAGAGGAAAUUAUUGAGUAGCUGUUAUUAUGAAGUUUGAUUUCUUUUGUGAAAUUCCAUAAGGAAGAUGGUGGAGGAUUGUUCAAGUUUGGCGGACAGAUGUAUCUUGUACACAAUUACUUAAAAGACAUGCUAGAAGAUUUCAUCUUGGUGUAAAAUUGAUAAAAGAAUAUUGUAAACCUUUGGUAUUGUUUGAAGUAGUUCUGCGGACGCAGUUGAGUUAUUUAUGUUUGCUAGUUGCAUGUUCCUGAGUCCAAACUAUUGCUACUUAUCAUCUGCCUUAAAAGUCUAUCCAAGUUUCUUAAUUUGCAUUAUCUAAGCCAUUGGCAAUGGUAGCACGCAAUGAGAAUGCUUUCUAUGGUCCUAAAUAAUAUGUGUUAUCAUAACUUGCUUCUUAUUGACAUUGAGGAA